GAUGAACGCUGGCGGCGUGCCUAAUACAUGCAAGUCGAGCGAACAGAUAAGGAGCUUGCUCCUUUGACGUUAGCGGCGGACGGGUGAGUAACACGUGGGUAACCUACCUAUAAGACUGGGAUAACUUCGGGAAACCGGAGCUAAUACCGGAUAACAUUUGGAACCGCAUGGUUCUAAAGUGAAAGAUGGUUUUGCUAUCACUUAUAGAUGGACCCGCGCCGUAUUAGCUAGUUGGUAAGGUAACGGCUUACCAAGGCGACGAUACGUAGCCGACCUGAGAGGGUGAUCGGCCACACUGGAACUGAGACACGGUCCAGACUCCUACGGGAGGCAGCAGUAGGGAAUCUUCCGCAAUGGGCGAAAGCCUGACGGAGCAACGCCGCGUGAGUGAUGAAGGGUUUCGGCUCGUAAAACUCUGUUGUUAGGGAAGAACAAACGUGUAAGUAACUGUGCACGUCUUGACGGUACCUAAUCAGAAAGCCACGGCUAACUACGU
rnacentral:rRNA from 1 species